rnacentral:tmRNA from 1 species
GGGGCUGCACCGGUUUCGACGCGGGUGCGGAAGCGCUUAGGGGCAUGUCGAGCUUGAGUAAUGCUCGUAAAUAUCGACUCAACAAAGUAACUGCAAACGACGAACGUUUCGCACUCGCCGCUUAAACACCGGUGAGCCUCGCAACAGCAGGCCGAUGGGCUGGGCAAGGGUGCCGCAAGGCGUCCAGGCUGCGAGGGCAUUCACAUCGGCUGGCCUUGCACCGGGUGCCUUGGUGUGGGGCGAGACCAUAGGGCACUAGCGGCUCAUGUAGCGUGCGACUGCGCGACAGGGGUGGCGAGACUCAAAUCAGACCGCUAAACAUGUAGAUCCUGGCGAAGAAGGCUUGCGGACGCGGGUUCGAAUCCCGCCAGCUCCACCA